rnacentral:lncRNA from 1 species
GUUAGAACAUGUUCAUUAGUCCUUUAUAGUAUCUUUGCAUGUAAAUAGUUAUUAACCAAGGUGUCAAGUAUUGUAACAGAGAUGCAGGAGAUUUGUCUAGACCAUUCCUCAAGAAGCCAGGAAAAGUUAACCAAGAAUCACACUCAGUCUGCCAGUGUUCUUCCAAUGGCCAAGAGGUCAAGGUCGGGGAGCAAGUCAGAGAUCAGAGUCUUUGGCUUCCAGGAGCCAGCAAAAACAUGGAAGAAGAGAGACUUUCUGUAAAGACAACCUUCCUGGAUAGGUCUUGCUUUCAGACUCACCUACCAGAUCUGAGAGAUGGACAGCAUUUCUGUGCUUUGGAUAUUCUAG